rnacentral:lncRNA from 1 species
GAUUUUGAAUUAAAGUCAUCACAUUUGCUAACAAGUUUUCCAUAUUCUUAACUCUUUCGCGCAACUCUUCAUUUUCAGAUGCACAAACCUUCGAUUUUUUAGAAUGAGGAAUCUUGCCCAUACAUCGCACACGUCCGUUUUUAUCAGGUCCUUGUACUUGAUAAAAUAUGUCAUCCUUCCAAGACAUAGAACCUUGUGUGUCUUGGGUUGAUUGAGAAGUUCCAGCCUCAUUAUUAUGUUUUUUUAGUUCUUCCUAAAAAAUAAAAUAAAAAUUAUUAAUGAUUGAAAAUACCAAAUUGAAAUUGACAUUCAAAGCAUGUAGUACUACAAUAAGAUCCAAUUAAAAAACUUCAACAUUGCAUAUAGGCUAACAAAUACAAAAUCUCCUAAAUGGUCAAGUAAAAAUCCAAUACAAUCAUCAUACAUUUGAAAAUAAAAUUCAGCACUUUGUCAAACUUAAUUUAUACACAUUUUAUAUAUUGGUACCGUUUAAUUAUUAUCAAAACUUACAAUCAAUCUUGCAGCCUUUCCAUUGACAAUUGCUCCAUCUUUACGAGUGCGGGUAUCAAUGUAAAUCUCUUUACGUCCAGGCAACACUCCUUUGCCCUUUUUAUCUACAACCAAAUAAAUAAGUUAAAUGCAUUUCAUUUUUAAUUUAAAUUAAAGCCAUAAAAAUAGAAAUAGAAAUAAACCUUCUCAUCAAUAAACUUUGGGAGACUUUUUGAACCCAUACAAUGAACAUCUUCAAAUUUAGCACGAUUUUGCCUAUUAAUUUUACUUAUUUUCUGCAAUUGAAAUAAAAUAUUAGUCUUAAUAAUAAACUCUUUAAUAUAUUACUCAUAAUAUAUACGACUUACUUGUCCUUCAUCAGAAAACCAAUGAUGAACCAAACCACGAUAUUGAUUUGGGUCAACCCUAUCAUCUGGUACAAGAGAUGCAACUUCUUCUUCUGUUUUAGUAGGGUCAUAUGCCAUUGACUUUUAGAAUGAGGAAUCUUGCCCAUACAUCGCACACGUCCGUUUUUAUCAGGUCCUUGUACUUGAUAAAAUAUGUCAUCCUUCCAAGACAUAGAACCUUGUGUGUCUUGGGUUGAUUGAGAAGUUUCAGCCUCAUUAUUAUGUU